ensembl:lncRNA
CCCCCUUUAGAUGCUGAAAGACCACUAUCAUAUCUCCCCGGAACCUUCUCCAGGCUGAACAGCCCCAGCUCUCUCAGAUUGUCCUCAGAGGAGAGGUGUUCCAUCCCUUGGAUGUUUUUUGUGUCCCUCCUCUGGACCUGCUCCAACAGCUCCAUGUCUCUCCUGUACUGAGGACUCCACAUCUGCACGCAGUACUCCAGUGCGAGGCUGAGUUGUCCUAGUGAAGAACAGUGAGGAUGUUUUGCACUACAGAGACAAGUACAAACUUCGCUGUUAGUCAAGGGAUGGGAAGCUCCACCAGUCGAAGGAACCUACAGCCCUGCAAGCACACCUCGCCUUGAUUGCUGAUCUCAGAUCUGCAAUUGCAUAAUUACCGAACUGAGAGAAAAUUACUUUUUGCUUGAGAGUGCUGGGACAGCUCUGAAUCCAUGAAUGACUCCCCUCAGGCACUGGUGUUUAAUUUAUGAGCUAUUUAUCUCCUUGCACACACCCCGGCACAAACAAUUAUACUUAGUAAUUUGUUGAUCUUAUCAAGGCUGUUUGAUGUUACUGUUGCUACCUCCAAUAACGCUGUGCUUUGAAACUUAAGCAGGGUUUAGAACCAAACUCGGCUACUUUGCACACAAUUCACAUUUCAGAAGUUUAACCCUUUGGCAGCUAAACGGCUUUCCAUGCCAUCUGUAAAGGUGAGCAAAAGUUCCAUCUGCUGCAGCCCAGCUGGCAGUGCAGCCCCUCGGCAGCAGCGGGCGCCCUUCGGCCAGGGGCAGUUCUGGACAACAGCCUCCUUGACUGCCAAAAAGGAGGACUGCAUUGACCUUUAAACUGUUGCACGUUUACCAUCAACAGAACUCAAUGGAUGCCUUUGUACGCCUCACCCUUGUAAGGAUCAGGAACCAAACUUGGGGCUGCACAGUGCUUGCCUUGGGCCAUACCUUAUGCACAACAGCUCCUCUGCAUGUCCUUGACCAGAAGGUGCUUGCAGGCAGCUCUCCCAGUUCCCCUCACAAACCUGCCAUCUUCCUUGAGUGCUGCCACAGCCACUGGGCUCACCAACACACAGCCGGAUAACGUGGGGACAAGCAAUACAGACAGCGCAGUGAUUUAGCAUGGCGCUUUCAAGCCCAGCCUUAAAUCAGACACAGUGAUGGAGCUGGUUGUGCUGCUGCCAGCAGAGGGGGGAGGAGAAGGAGAAGGAAGUCAGGGUCAGCUCUGCACUGAGCUCACACAGCACAACUGGCACCUCCUGUGCUGCAGCCCAGGUGAGCAGGGACAGAGCCCCGGUCAGUGCCGGCAGAUCUUCUGCCAUCAGCAUCCCCAGGGAAACCCACCCGCACUCAGACAUACCCACACAUUACCUCAGCCAUCUGAACUCCUCCAGCUGUGCAGAUUUCCUGCCCUGCAGGGCCCAAAGCCAAGGAGCAAAGCAGGAAGAUGUCUGUGCCUCAGCCCCACGUGAUGUCCCAUGCUCAGAUACGUUUUGUCAACUUCUGCAUCGCAUGUGCUCUCGCAAUAGCAGCAGAUUUUGUUUUCUAUAUGGUUUAAAAGCUUUCCCGUGCCAAACGCAUACAUUUUGCAUGCAGAAAAUAAAAUGCUACAGGCAAUCUGCAACUGCACGGAGCUGUAACGAGCUCUGAUGAGCAGGCACGUACCACAUCAUCUGCUUAUGGCGGCAAGAGCGCACAUGUAACUGAUUUCACAAUAUGCAACACGCUGCCAUAUGUGCCUGUUCUCAUAGAUCAGGAAUUGGCACUACCUGCAGAUAGAAGCCAAGAAAACUGCUUCAAAGACAGCCUGGAAACACAGCAUUUACUUCAGAACUUCCAAAGCCUGACCAGCACUUGGCUAUCCCCAUCCGCCGGGUACUGUGAUGAAUACCACCGCUUUGAUUUUUUUUUGUUGUUGUUUUCAAAGCCUCCAGUGGCUCUCCUGGUUUAAUUGAAGCAAAAUGGUAGGAUUAGCAUAAUCAAACAUAUGGAAUUAGUAUUGGGAGAGUAAGAAUUAAAACGAGCGAAUAGCACUUUUAAACAGUGUCCAACUUAUAACGAUUCUCCCGCUAGCUGCCCGUGCCCUUCAUCCUCCGUGAGUUCACAAGUAGAGAGAAACAUUAAAAUGGAGCAGAAAACAUUUAAGCCGACAGCUUUGCCACAUCCGUUGCUCUUUCAGAGUGCAGUUUUGCUGUCAUACCCGCAGCUGGCAGGAGCAGCACUGCGCCAAACCACCCGGCG